rnacentral:rRNA from 1 species
GAUGAACGCUGGCGGCGUGCCUAAUACAUGCAAGUCGAGCGAACAGACGAGGAGCUUGCCUCUCUGACGUUAGCGGCGGACGGGUGAGUAACACGUGGAUAACCUACCUAUAAGACUGGGAUAACUUCGGGAAACCGGAGCUAAUACCGGAUUAUAUAUUGAACCGCAUGGUUCAAUAGUGAAAGACGGUUUUGCUGUCACUUAUAGAUGGAUCCGCGCCGCAUUAGCUAGUUGGUAAGGUAACGGCUUACCAAGGCAACGAUGCGUAGCCGACCUGAGAGGGUGAUCGGCCACACUGGAACUGAGACACGGUCCAGACUCCUACGGGAGGCAGCAGUAGGGAAUCUUGCGCAAUGGGCGAAAGCCUGACGGAGCAACGCCGCGUGAGUGAUGAAGGUCUUCGGAUCGUAAAGCUCUGUUAUUAGGGAAGAACAAAUGUGUAAGUAACUAUGCACGUCUUGACGGUACCUAAUCAGAAAGCCACGGCUAACUACGUG